ACUCAACGUUAAUUCUUUAAAAAGGGUGAGUUUAAGUUGUAAAAGCAGGCCGCUAGUGCCGAACUUGUUUCGGUAUCUAUGGGCGGAUCCUUGAUCAGCUUGUUAGCCCUAAACUUGUUUUUAAGGAGUUU
rnacentral:sRNA from 1 species